rnacentral:rRNA from 1 species
AUUGAACGCUGGCGGCAGGCCUAACACAUGCAAGUCGAACGAGUGGCGGACGGGUGUGUAAUGUCUGGGAAACUGCCUGAUGGAGGGGGAUAACUACUGGAAACGGUAGCUAAUACCGCAUACCAUCAGAUGUGCCCAGAUGUGAUUGGCUAGUUGGUGGGGUAACGGCUCACCAAGGCGACGACCCCUAGCUGGUCUGAGAGGAUGACCAGCAACACUGGAACUGAGACACGGUCCAGACUCCUACGGGAGGCAGCAGUGGGGAAUAUUGCACAAUGGGCGAAAGCCUGAUGCAGCAAUGCCGCGUGUAUGACGAAGGCCUUCGGGUUGUAAAGUACUUUCAGCGGGGAGGCGUUACCCGCAGAAGAAGCACCGGCUAACUCCGUGCCAGCAGCCGCGGUAAUAC